ACCGCAGCAAUGCUGAUCUGCGAUUACUAGCGAUUCCGACUUCACGGAGUCGAGUUGCAGACUCGAUCCGGACUACGAUAGAUUUUCUGGGAUUGGCUCCCUCUCGCGAGUUGGCUUCCCUCUGUAUCUACCAUUGUAGCACGUGUGUAGCCCUGCCAUAAAGGCCAUGAUGACUUGACGUCAUCCCCACCUUCCUCCGGUUUGUCACCGGCGGUCUCCUUAGAGUGCCCAACUUAAUGCUGGCAACUAAGGACAAGGGUUGCGCUCGUUGCGGGACUUAACCCAACAUCUCACGACACGAGCUGACGACAGCCAUGCAGCACCUGUGUUCGAGUUCCUUGCGGCACUCCCAAAUCUCUUCGGGAUUCUCGACAUGUCAAGGCCAG
rnacentral:rRNA from 1 species